UAAUUGAAGAGUUUGAUCAUGGCUCAGAUUGAACGCUGGCGGCAGGCUUAACACAUGCAAGUCGAGCGGCAGCACAGAGGAACUUGUUCCUUGGGUGGCGAGCGGCGGACGGGUGAGUAAUGCCUGGGAAAUUGCCCGGUAGAGGGGGAUAACCAUUGGAAACGAUGGCUAAUACCGCAUAACCUCGCAAGAGCAAAGCA
rnacentral:rRNA from 1 species